rnacentral:piRNA from 1 species
UCAAACAUGUUCCAAGAUUCCCAGUGAUGC